GUCCUUUUGUUGCUCUCUUCCCCCUUCUCUCUCCUUCAUUCUCGAAACUCUAAAAUCUACAGCAGCUCCUUCUCUCUCCUUUAUUCUUUCACUAUUCUUUCAUCUUCAUCUUCUCCCAGAGAAACCUUAAAAGGCAAAGUUAGUCAGAUAGACCUUAAAUCACUUUUAGGGGGCUACAAUCAAAUGAACAAGAGGCUGAGAGGUAUUGAUUUUGUCAUAAUCGAAAGAAGGAUGAAGGCGCAGUGAUGAACUGGGUUUUGAUAGGAGUUUCAAGGGUAAGUUUUUGAGUGUUCUUUUGCUUAUUGGCUCGAAAGAAAUUACAGCAGAGAGAGAGAGAGGCAGGAAAGAGACACGGCGGCGACGUUUAGGGUUCCGCCGCAAACAAAACGACGGUGACGACUGUGGUUGACGUCGCAAGCUCCGGUUCCGGCAAGAGAUAAGUGGAUGCUAUUGUGGUUAAUAGUCAUGAUAAGAGGAUGCAAUGACUUAUGUGUAUUCCUUUUUGUCACCGUCCCUUCUACCGCCUUACCUAACCUUCUAAUUCGGCCGUUUCGAACCUCCUUCAACCGGGUUUCAGGGUGGUGGUGAAAGCCUGAAUCAACUCUAUAAACGUUGCACAAAUUCAUUGCAAGCGAUUGGCAGUAAACACCAAGGGGAGCGGGUUGUGGUGGUGACUCAUGGUGGUGUGAUCAGAGCACUUCAUGAGUGGGCUUCUUUAGGUACAGGACACCGAGCAGGAAGGAUACUGAACAGUCAAUGUAUUACACUUAUCGGAUCCCGACAAAUAGGUCAUCAAAUCAUGGGGGGAUGUCAGUCAUCUGAAUGGAGCCGGGUACUUAGACUCGGGUUUUGGUGGCGAUCGAACUUCCGGUUAGGCUUUUUCGUACAUGUCCAUUUGUUGACUUGCUAGAUGCAUUUAAUAACCAACAUGUCAAGUCUUUGAUGGGC